UACAGCUUGGCUUAACUGGCUGAGCAUGGUGCUAGAAACACCUGGCGCUGUAAACGCCGAGUGCAGGUUCGAAACCUACAGUGCUGUAA